rnacentral:rRNA from 1 species
GUGGGGAAUCUUGCACAAUGGAGGAAACUCUGAUGCAGCGACGCCGCGUGAGCGAUGAAGCCCUUCGGGGUGUAAAGCUCUUUCGGCAGGAACGAUAAUGACGGUACCUGCAGAAGAAGCUGCGGCUAACUACGUGCCAGCAGCCGCGGUAAUACGUAGGCAGCAAGCGUUGUUCGGAAUUACUGGGCGUAAAGAGUGUGUAGGCGGUGUCGUAAGUUUGGUGUGAAAUCUCCCGGCUUAACCGGGAGGGUGCGCCGAAGACUGCGAUGCUGGAGUAUGGGAGAGGAAAGCGGAAUUCCUGGUGUAGCGGUGAAAUGCGUAGAUAUCAGGAGGAACACCUGCGGUGUAGACGGCUUUCUGGACCAUGACUGACGCUGAGACACGAAAGCGUGGGUAGCAAACAGGAUUAGAUACCCUGGUAGUCC